rnacentral:SRP_RNA from 1 species
GCCAGGCGUGGUGGCUCACGCCUGUAAUCCCAGCACUUUGGGAGGCCGAGGUGGGUGGAUCACCUGAGGUCAGGAGUUGGAGACCAGCCUGGCCAACAUGGUGAAACCCCGUCUCUA